rnacentral:rRNA from 1 species
ACAGAUCGUUCAGAGUUGAUCCUGGCUCAGGACGAACGCUGGCGGCGUGCCUAAUACAUGCAAGUCGAACGAACAGACUGGAAGCUUGCUUCCAGAAAGUUAGUGGCGGACGGGUGAGUAACACGUGGGUAACCUGCCCUUCAGUGGGGGAUAACAUCCGGAAACGGGUGCUAAUACCGCAUAGUUUCUUUUUCCGCAUGGAAGGAGAAGGAAAGACGGCCUUUGCGCUGUCGCUGAGGGAUGGACCCGCGGCGUAUUAGUUAGUUGGUGGGGUAAUGGCCUACCAAGACGAUGAUACGUAGCCGACCUGAGAGGGUGUUCGGCCACAUUGGGACUGAGACACGGCCCAA